rnacentral:lncRNA from 1 species
AAACAACAUAGCUACUGUAGAGGAAGGGAGGAUAUGUAAAGGAACGGAAUUGUCAAAUAGGAUGUGGGGUUUUUUUCUUCCUUUAUCUAGGCUGUUUCUUCUUUUCAAUUCAGGAUGCAAGAGAGCCAAGUCAGAGGUUCUGUUCUGAGCUUUUCCACUGACGUGCUUGGUGAGCCUGGGCUCCUGACAUUUGGCUCCAAGUGUCAGCUGCAGAGCAUAAUUUGAAGCCAGUGGGAGCAGCUGAGGAAUAAACUACCACCCAAUUCAUGGAAGGGCAUCAGAAUCUGACCUGCUCUGCUUGGCCAUUCAUUAUUUCUCCAAUAUCUGUCAAUGGAUAUUCUUGGAUGAUAUAUGGAUAUUUAGAAAUGUAUCGCCAAAUCAUGCUAAAUAACUUCUACUUGUGCUGUCAAAUUUCCUGGUGAUUCCAUUGAGAAUUCUUUUCAGGAUUUGUACUUUCUCUCCUGCUUCUCACUGAGGCAGGCUUUUUUGUGUGUGCGUGUGUAUGUAAUGGGUAAUAGUGUCAUCUUUAAUCUUCUCUUUCACGUAGUUUUUCUUUUGUCCUCUGCUGACUUCUUCCACACAGAGACAUGUUAGAAAACUGGGCCUCCUGAGAAACACGUCAUUGAAAGAAAUGUGUGCAAAUGAAACAUCCCCGUCUCAAAUCCCAGAUGGGAGAACUGAAGUGAGUCUGUCACUGAGCUUGAGCCAUCAUUCAAACCCAGAGUUCUGAGUGAGCUGGGAUACUUUCAGAUGGGAAACCCAUUUCCCACCAGCACUGACCGAAGCAUAUUACCCUCACUCAGAUAAAACUCUUCCAUUUUGCUGGAAAUAAGACUGCAUCUCCUGUGCUCACUGUCAUGCAUUUCAGGCUUGCUUUCGUACCAUGUGAAGUGGAUAGCAAUGCUGCUGAGGUCAAUGGGCAAGUUAUUAACGCUAAAAAGCAUUAAUAACAACAAAGCAACAUGCUGAAGAACUGGGAAGAAAAGCUGAGAAUCGGGAAAUAAAGAUAAUUCUCACACUUAAGACCUUCUGAGAUAGUUAUGUCUAUUGUGAAUAGUUCAGCAACCAACUGGCUCAGAGGUUAUUGCCUAAGCAUCUUUCCCUCGCUCUAAUCCCCUGCAAGGUUUUUUCUGAGCAGUGUUGUUAAUCUAAAAUGACUGCUAACUGACUCCUGUGUCAAACAUUAUUCAUUAUGCACUUUAAAUGCUUCCUGCAGAGGCCAAAAUAAAUUUUGCUUUUUUAAGAGCAGACCACAAGGAGUGCCUACGUAGGAUAUUUCUUAAAAGAUUAGACUAGAAAUGGCAGUUAAGAUGUUGGGGGGAAUAAACGGCGCUCAGAACAAAGCUUCACAGUUUAACCAGGGAUAAACUUCAGUUACCAAAACCUACUUUCAUAUACAUCUAUCUAUAACCUGUUCCUGCAGGAAGAGCUCACCCUUGCAGGGUGGGAGAAAUACCUUUAUAGAGGGAUGCUAUAAG